GGAUCUGUAGCUCAAUGGUAGAGCGUGCGAUUGCAGCUCGCAAGGUUAUCCGUUCGAUUCGGGUCAGGUCCU
rnacentral:tRNA from 1 species